UACGAUCAUUUCAUCCGUUAGCACCGUCAACUGUAUUUACAAGGUAAGGAUAGACUUAAAUUGAAUUUUGAUUCAGUCUUGAGCUCAUCCAUCUAUGAGAGGUCAUCUCUAGUGCCACAGCUGCGGUAAUUCCAGCUCUCAAAGUGUAUAUCAUGAUUGCUGCUGUUAAAAAGCUCGUAGUUGGAUCUGCGUCUCAGGACCUAAUUCAUUCAUUGGAUGAGAACUGGGCUCCUAGCUAAUACUGCCAAAUUCUCCUUACGUUACCUUGAUCAUUGCGUAUGGUGGCUAACAGAUUUACCUUGAAAAUAAAAGAGUAAUUGAUGUGGGCUGAUGACUCACACUUACUAGAAAUUUCUUAUUCAAGGGAAAUAAUUGCAAUUCCCAAUUCCGAUCGCAGAGAACUUCCAAACAUCACAGACCUGUUACUACUCAACUUCAUGUCGUUCUAAAGGAGGAAGGGAUGGACGAAUUCGCUUUUAUUUUCAAGUACCGCCACACUUGAAAACGUUUCUGGGAUUUAGACCGAAAUCAGUCAAGACUGCGCUUUAUAACUAAGGCCGGAAAUGCUUAUGAAAAGUGAUGGUGAUGAUGA
rnacentral:ncRNA from 1 species